rnacentral:rRNA from 1 species
CAGCAGCCGCGGGAAUACGUAGGGUGCGAGCGUUAAUCGGAAUUACUGGGCGUAAAGCGUGCGCAGGCGGUUCGUUAAGACAGAUGUGAAAUCCCCGGGCUUAACCUGGGAACUGCAUUUGUGACUGGCGAGCUAGAGUAUGGCAGAGGGGGGUAGAAUUCCACGUGUAGCAGUGAAAUGCGUAGUGAUGUGGAGGAAUACCGAUGGCGAAGGCAGCCCCCUGGGCCAAUACUGACGCUCAUGCACGAAAGCGUGGGGAGCAAACAGGAUUAGAUACCCCAGUAGUCCCUGUCUCUUAUAC